UACGUAGGGCGCAAGCGUUGUCCGGAAUUAUUGGGCGUAAAGAGCUCGUAGGCGGCCAGUUGCGUCCGCUGUGAAAUCCCAGGGCUCAACCCUGGGCUUGCAGUGGAUACGGGCUGGCUGGAGGCAGGCAGGGGAGAACGGAAUUCCCGGUGUAGCGGUGAAAUGCGUAGAGAUCCGGAAGAACACCGGUGGCGAAGGCGGCCUGCUGGGCUAUGGCUGACACUGACGCUCAUGCACGAAAGCGUGGGGAGCAAACAGG
rnacentral:rRNA from 1 species